AGACUCAUUUUAAGACACAUCAAUCUUUAUCAUCUUUAAAUAAAAAGGAUAAACAUGAUGGAUUUCCAUUAUCUCAAGCAAAAACAAAGAGUUCAAAAUAUUGGUGGUAAGAACUGUCAAAAACUUGUGAUAGCUAUGAUGAAGAGUUUUAUGACAAAUUCACUU
rnacentral:lncRNA from 1 species